rnacentral:rRNA from 1 species
AACGAACGUUAGCGGCGCGCCUAAUACAUGCAAGUCGAGCGAGAAAGGGCUUCGGCCCCGGUAAAGCGGCGCACGGGUGAGUAACACGUAGGUAUCUGCCUUCGAGUGGUGGACAACCCUCCGAAAGGAGGGCUAAUACAGCAUAACGUCAGCAAUGACCAAAGCGGGCCUCUCCAUGGAAGCUCGCGCUUGAAGAUGAGCCUGCGGCCCAUCAGCUAGUUGGCGGGGUAACAGCCCACCAAGGCAAAGACGGGUAGCUGGUCUGAGAGGAUGAACAGCCACACUGGAACUGAGACACGGUCCAGACUCCUACGGGAGGCAGCAGUAGGGAAUCUUCCGCAAUGGGCGAAAGCCUGACGGAGCGACGCCGCGUGAGCGAUGAAGGCCUUCGGGUUGUAAAGCUCUGUGGGGAGAGAAGAAUAAGUGCAACUCAAUACGUUGCAUGAUGACGGUACCUCCUUAGCAAGCACCGGCUAACUCUGUGCCAGCCGCCGCCGUAAGAC